CUGGCUGCAGCCCGCCUCUCUCAGUACCCUGCGCCGCUCUUCUCAGUACCCAUCCCGCAGACAGGAAAUGACGCAACACCGCAGCUCUCAGUCCCCUCAGACCGGAAAUGUCGUCAACCCUUGCGACGAAAACAAGUUACGUUAUUUCACCUCUCGCGAAAAAAACACGGUAAGUGGCCGCACUGAAAAAAAGUUUUUAAAAGCGUAUGCAUGUUUAAAAAUGUUAAAUAGUUAAACAAGACUUGCGGUGAAAAUAUGAAGUGUUUAUUCUGAGUUGAAAAGACCGUACUUAUAUCUAGUAUUCUUAAUGUAAUUUAAAUAAUGUCUUCCUUUACUAACUGCAUGUGACUUUGCUCUACUUAUAUUGUUUAAUACGUACUGAUGAAUUCAGCAGCGAAUUCGCUAAUGCUGCUAAUGCUUUUUACAUUUUUUUUUCACAAUGAACAGUCUUCUUUGUGUAGUUUUCAUUAUAUUGCACUCUUAUUUUUCAUUAUGUACAUGCCUGCAAUUCGCAGCUCGCUGUUUUUGUUGUUGUAUGGUAUUGUUGUUUUGCCUUCAUUUGUUUUGUCUGGUCCUUUGUAGUUUGAAUGUUGUCACAUGAUCCAAAUAGGACAAGCUGCAAGAUCACCACCCCAUUGGGAAGAAACUAAAUCACGACCCCCAAAUGGUAGUCUUCCCAUGCAGAUACAAGGAUGUCACACAGAUCCAAAUGGAAACAUCGAACACUGUAAAACCCACUGUGCAGACAGGACCAAUGGUGACAAUAUAAGACCAUGCCGAGCUUCAUGGACGGUUCAAACUCAUCCUGCCCAGGAACGGCUGGUAUGUUUUAUGUCUGAGACAAAUGUUGUGCUCAGUGGAAAUCUGGAUAGGCUUAUUAUUCCUUAUAUUAGUUAACAAUUGGACAUAAUUGAUUAUUUACUCUUUGUUUAUUUAACCAAUCAACAUUCUCAUUAGCUUAUGCAAAUCUUGAAUAUAAAGAGGCCAGAAAUGGUGUUGAUUGUCUAAAAAAAGAAAGUUUGAUUGACACGUGCUGACUUUUGGAACGUUGGCCUGAACAAUGAAAUGGAAUCAACUGUGAAUUUUGAGGAUUUAGUUUCUCUAAAGAACAUAAUGUCACUUGUACAAUUAAGUAAAAUGUAACUUUUUGUUUUUGUUUUUUUGCAGAUAUGAAAUGCAUAUUUAUAACUUGUCUAACAAGUAGCUCAUUCAAAGGUAUAAAAAAGUAUUUUUUUGGCGUGUGUAGGGUAUUAUUUUAACUAUGUAGCCUACAGAAUGCUUGUAUGGGCUCAUGUAGGUGUCUGCGUACGUUUGUAUUUAUAUAACAUAUGUCCGUGUGUAUAGAUUAUGUAUUUUUCAGGGAAGGACCAUAUUUGUGGCUGACCCCUAUGUUGUUGCAACAUGGUGAAAGCCUACAGGAUGUGACCCACACAUGCAUCUGCCUAAAACGUUGACAGUCAAUCAACAGGGGGACAUGGAAAGAGAGGAUUGGAAGUGAAAUAGAGGGUUUUUCGGGACAGCCAUAGGGGAAGGACUGUGGCAUCUUCAUGUUGGUAGACUGAUAUGCCAACUCUGAGGAAGUGGUGGUGUCUAUUGCUAGUGGACAAUUUCAAACUUGGGUGCAUGGUGAGCCACAGGAAAGAGUUUGCCCAUUGGACAGAUAAGGCAAAAGCAUGACUGCAGGGUGAAGUGCCACCAGUCUAUCAGCUACAGAAGUGAAAUUUGAAUAUAAUUGCUGAGGAAGAGGUGCAACCACAGCUCCUUCAAGUUAGUGGUGGCCCACUCCAAAAAGAUAUGGCGGGAAAAAAUGUUUUGGUAAAAGGAUUGUGCAAGACAGCACAAAAGCCUCGGACAGGGCUGGGGGGGGGG